rnacentral:rRNA from 1 species
GAUGAACGCUGGCGGCGUGCCUAAUACAUGCAAGUCGAGCGAACGGACGAGAAGCUUGCUUCUCUGAUGUUAGCGGCGGACGGGUGAGUAACACGUGGAUAACCUACCUAUAAGACUGGGAUAACUUCGGGAAACCGGAGCUAAUACCGGAUAAUAUUUUGAACCGCAUGGUUCAAAAGUGAAAGACGGUCUUGCUGUCACUUAUAGAUGGAUCCGCGCUGCAUUAGCUAGUUGGUAAGGUAACGGCUUACCAAGGCAACGAUGCAUAGCCGACCUGAGAGGGUGAUCGGACACACUGGAACUGAGACACGGUCCAGACUCCUACGGGAGGCAGCAGUAGGGAAUCUUCCGGAAUGGGCGAAAGCCUUACGGAGCAACACCGCGUGAGUGAUGAAGGUCUUCGGAUCGUAAAACUCUGUUAUUAGGGAAGAACAUAUGUGUAAGUAACUGUGCACAUCUUGACGGUACCUAAUCAGAAAGCCACGGCUAACUACGUG